GAUGUUAUUUGUGUUUAAUAAUUUCGGACAUAACAUACUAACCAUCUAAGUUGACCCUUUGAAAAGUAAUCCCGAUUACCACACACUGACAUAGGUAAAUAGUCGUAGAAUUUUAUGCUGAUCAAAACAUCAUAUCCUGCGUUCGGUCCUAAAAUAAUAUUUCUAUGAAUUACAAACAGAAUGACAAACAUCAGAUCCUGUUCUUGACUAAGAACGUACAUAUCAUUUCAGAGAAAUCAAGGGAUAUGAAAAUGUCCACUAAUUUGGAAGGACAAUACAUUUAUCUAACAAUAUUAAAAAAAUUUCUAUUCCUAACAUGUGAAUUCGAAUGCAAAUUUUGUCAAAUAGAAUUCGAUCAAAGAAUAUAAUUCUUAAAAGUUAUAAUUUUUACAAUUUCGGAAAUAUUUAUUUUAAAUAUGUUGUAAGAUAUAUUUCUGCUCCAAUAUUUCUUAAGGUGUAUUCAUAGAAAUAUCCGAUAGCACCUUCCUCAUCGACUGCUCGAACAAAACUAAAUAUUCUCCCAAAACCAAUUUGACAGAAAAUUCAAAACAACCCAACAUACCAAAAAUACAAUACAGCUUGAGAAUAAUAUUAUGAAAAUAGUUUAUCGUAAGAAUUCUUCAACAAUGCUAGAGAAAAACUUUUUUGCACAAACUUUUCUCAAAUCUGUCCUUUGUUGACAAAUUUGUUUUAAUUUUUUUUUUUUUUUUUUGUGAAAAUUGUCGACAAAAAAAUAUUUUCUUUGGUUAAAAUCAAAAUCACGCGAAUUUAAGACCCAUUUCUGGACGAAAUUCUAAGAAUAGAGGCGUCAAAAAGUUGCAAGAAUUCAAGAGAAGUGAAGAAUUAGUGGAGGAGAUGCGGAAGCUCAAAUAAGGGGAAAGAAUGCAACAGGAGGCAGCGACAGCUAGGAUGGCGAUCAAUGAAUGAAAUGUGUAAAAUAAUUAGAAAAAUUAAAAAAUAAAUAUUUUAUACCAUUGAAAAAAUAAGCUUGAUAUAAUAUUACUUUCGUAAGCUUAUUCUGCAAUUACAAGAAUAAGCUUAUGAAUAAGGGUUCCCUUUCGAUUAUUCUAUAAUUGUUAAACAAUCAUUUCUCAAUACAUUCUCAAGAUUUUCUCAAGCUUAAGGCUUAUGUUUGAAAGCUUAUUAAAAUAUUAUUCUCAAGUCAAUUCCCAACAUACCAAAAACAUAAUACAGCUUGAGAAUAAUAUUAUGAAAAUAGUUUAUCGUAAGAAUUCUUCAACAAUGCUAGAGAAAAACUUUUUUGCACAAACUUUUCUCAAAUCUGUCCUUUGUUGACAAAUUUGUUUUAAUUUUUUUUCUGAAAAUUGUUGACAAAAAAAUAUUUUCUUUGGUUAAAAUCAAAAUCACGCGAAUUUAAGACCCAUUUCUGGACGAAAUUCUAAGAAUAGAGGCGUCAAAAAGUUGCAAGAAUUCAAGAGAAGUGAAGAAUUAGUGGAGGAGAUGCGGAAGGCAGCGACAGCUAGGAUGGCGAUCAAUGAAUGAAAUGUGUAAAAUAAUUAAAAAAAAUAAAAAAUAAAUAUUUUAUACCAUUGAAAAUAUAUUACUUUCGUAAGCUUAUUCUGCAAUUACAAGAAUAAGCUUAUGAGUAAGGGUUCCCUUUCGAUUUUUCUAUAAUUGUUAAACAAGCAUUUCUCAAUACAUUCUCAAGAUUUUCUCAAGCUUAAGGCUUAUGUGUGAAAGCUUAUUAAAAUAUUAUUCUCAAGUCAAUUUGGUAUGCUAGGUUUGGUAUGUUGGGAAUUUAUUUUUUACAAUUGUGUUGGUGAACACACAGAUAUCCCAAGUGAUACUCUUUGCCCUUUUAGUUUUAUUCGAGCAGUCGAUGAAGAA